rnacentral:rRNA from 1 species
GGGCCCGCACAAGCGGUGGAGUAUGUGGUUUAAUUCGAUGCAACGCGAAGAACCUUACCAGGGUUUGACAUCCUGCGAAUCUCUUGGAAACAGGAGAGUGCCUUCGGGAACGCAGUGACAGGUGGUGCAUGGCUGUCGUCAGCUCGUGUCGUGAGAUGUUGGGUUAAGUCCCGCAACGAGCGCAACCCACGUCUUUAGUUGCCAGCAUUCAGUUGGGCACUUUAAAGAGACUGCCGGUGAUAAACCGGAGGAAGGUGAGGACGACGUCAAGUCAGCAUGCCCCUUACGCCCUGGGCUACACACGUACUACAAUGGGGCGUACAAAGGGUUGCAAUCCCGCGAGGGGAGCUAAUCCCAUAAAACGUUUCGUAGUCCGGAUCGCAGUCUGCAACUCGACUGCGUG